rnacentral:piRNA from 1 species
UGGAAAAACUGAAGAACCAGGACUGC